rnacentral:rRNA from 1 species
CGGGGGGGGGCAAGCGUUGUUCGGAAUUACUGAGCGUAAAGGGUGCGUAGGCGGCUCUCUAAGUCGGAUGUGAAAACUCUGGGCUCAACCCAGAGCCUGCAUCUGAAACUGGAGGGCUAGGGUUUUGGAGGGGAAAGCGGAAUUCCAGGUGUAGCGGUGAAAUGCGUAGAUAUCUGGAGGAACACCGGUGGCGAAGGCGGCUUUCUGGACAAAUACCGACGCUGAGGCACGAAAGCUAGGGGAGCAAACAGGAUUAGAUACCCUGGUAGUCCUAGCCCUAAACUAUGGAUACUUGCUGUGGGGGGGAUUGAAGCCCCUUGUGGCGAAGCUAACGCAUUAAGUAUCCCGCCUGGGGAGUACGGUCGCAAGGCUG